GCACUUGGUGGUUUAGUGGUAGAAUUCUCACCUUCUAUGUGGGAGACCCAGGUUCGAUUCCUGACCAGUGCA